rnacentral:rRNA from 1 species
UGAGGAAUAUUGGGCAAUGCCCGCAAGGGUGACCCAGCAACGCCGCGUGGAGGAUGAAUGUCGUAAGAUUGUAAACUCCUGUUAGAGGGGAAGAAUAGUACCGGUUGGACCGGUAUAUGACUGUACCCUCAGAGAAAGCCCCGGCUAACUACGUGCCAGCAGCCGCGGUAAUACGUAGGGGGCAAGCGUUGUCCGGAUUUACUGGGUGUAAAGGGCGCGCAGGCGGGAUAAAAAGUCAGUGGUGAAAUCCUACAGCUUAACUGUAGAACUGCCUUUGAUACUUUUAUUCUUGAGUUCGGGAGAGAGAGACGGAAUUCCAGGUGUAGUAGUGAAAUACGUAGAUAUCUGGAAGAACACCAGUUGCGAAGGCGGUCUCUUGGUCCGACACUGACGCUGAGGCGCGAAAGCGUGG